GAUGAAGAACGCAGCGAAAUGCGAUAAGUAAUGUGAAUUGCAGAAUUCAGUGAAUCAUCGAAUCUUUGAACGCACAUUGCGCCCCCCAGUAUUCUGGCGGGCAUGCCUGUUCGAGCGUCAUUUCAACCAUCAAGCCCUGCUUGUGUUGGGGUCCUGCGGCUGCGGCCGGCCCUAAAGACAGUGGCGGUGCCGCCUGGCCCUGAGCGUAGUACAUCUCUCGCUCCAGUGCCCGGUGGUAGCCUGCCAGAACCCCAACUCUCGUGGUUGACCUCGGAUCAGGUAGGGAUACCCGCUGAACUUAAGCAUAUCAAUAAGCGGAGGA
rnacentral:misc_RNA from 1 species